rnacentral:rRNA from 1 species
UUUAGUAGCUGCGAGCGAACAGGGAUAAGCUCAGCAUAAAAUCUUGUAACUUGCCAGUUAUCAAGAGAUGUUAUGUUUAGGAGGUUUCGUUUAUCCUACAAUAUACACUUGGUCCAAGUCCACCUUGAAUGGGGCAUUACCCAUAGAGGGUGCCAGUCCCGUAGUGACAAGUGUUGAUAAAAUGAUUGUAGGUGAAACUUUCCUUAGAGUCGGGUUGCUUGUAAAUGCAGCUCCAAGUGGGUGGUAAACUCCAUCUAAAGCUAAAUAUAACCACGAGACCGAUAGCGAACAAGUACCAUGAGGGAAAGUUGAAAAGAACUUUGAAGAGAGAGUUCAAGAGUACGUGAAACCGUUUAGGGGUAAACGGGAGAAAUCUGAAAAUCUGAAGGAAGUGAUUCACGUAAAAUCUACAUUGUAUAUUAUGUGUUUGAUCGAUGAUUAUUUAAACACCUUGCAUGCAAUUCAUUUGUAUGUUGAGGAUUGCGUUUAAUAUCACGAUUCUCAUAUAAUUUCAAAUAUAAUGUGGUUUACCGCAUUUCAACCUUCC